rnacentral:rRNA from 1 species
GAUGAACGCUGACAGAAUGCUUAACACAUGCAAGUCGAUUCGAUUUACCUUCGGGUAUUGAGGAUGGCGGACGGGUGAGUAACGCGUAAGGAACUUGCCUCUUGGUCUGGGACAACUGUUGGAAACGACAGCUAAUACCGGAUAUUAUGAGAUUCUCGCAUGGGAAACUUAUGAAAGCUAUAUGCGCCAAGAGAGAGCCUUGCGUUCCAUUAGCUAGUUGGUGGGGUAACGGCCCACCAAGGCGACGAUGGAUAGCCGGCCUGAGAGGGUGAACGGCCACAAGGGGACUGAGACACGGCCCUUACUCCUACGGGAGGCAGCAGUGGGGAAUAUUGGACAAUGGGCCACAAGCCUGAUCCAGCAAUUCUGUGUGCACGAUGAAGGUCUUCGGAUUGUAAAGUGCUUUCAGUUGGGAAGAAGAAAGUGACGGUACCAACAGAAGAAGCGACGGCUAAAUACGUGCCAGCAGCCGCGGUAAUACGUAUGUCGCAAGCGUUAUCCGGAUUUAUUGGGCGUAAAGCGCGUCUAGGCGGAAAAAUAAGUCUGAUGUUAAAAUGCGGGGCUCAACUCCGUAUUGCGUUGGAAACUGUUUUUCUAGAGUACUGGAGAGGUGGGCGGAACUACAAGUGUAGAGGUGAAANUC